UAGGGAAUCUUCGGCAAUGGGGGCAACCCUGACCGAGCAACGCCGCGUGAGGGAAGAAGGUUUUCGGAUCGUAAAGCUCUGUUGUAAGAGAAGGACGUGUGUGAGAGUGGAAAGUUCACACAGUGACGGUAACUUACCAGAAAGGGACGGCUAACUACGUGCCAGCAGCCGCGGUAAUACGUAGGUCCCGAGCGUUGUCCGGAUUUAUUGGGCGUAAAGCGAGCGCAGGCGGUUUAAUAAGUCUGAAGUUAAAGGCAGUGGCUUAACCAUUGUUCGCUUUGGAAACUGUUAAACUUGAGUGCAGAAGGGGAGAGUGGAAUUCCAUGUGUAGCGGUGAAAUGCGUAGAUAUAUGGAGGAACACCGGUGGCGAAAGCGGCUCUCUGGUCUGUAACUGACGCUGAGGCUCGAAAGCGUGGGGAGCAAACAGG
rnacentral:rRNA from 1 species